rnacentral:lncRNA from 1 species
AAACUGCUGCAGAUAAUUACAUCAUGUUAUAACCCAAUUUGAUUCAGGUCAAGAUGAAAGGGUGUAUAACAGCUACAAAGAAAAGUGUGACUCUAGGAAACAAGCAAAAGGUAAUGUAUGGUGAUGGAAAAUGUAUACCGAAGAAAUGGUGUGAGGAUAAGAAAGCACUGAUGUAGCAGAUAAAUACGGAGCACAGAUAAGUACAAUUGCCACAUACUAGAAGAGAUAAGAAUGAAGGUUGAUUUUGCCGACCUCCCCUCCAUUCUGAUAUUUGUUAAACUAUGUCUUCUUGUGUUACAUUGAUAGUCGGAGUUCCGUAUAUCUUGGACAUGCACCUGUGCCCAGACCUUUAUUUCAGUGAAUCUAUAUCAUUUGCAAACAUACUUGGGAUUAGUUCCUCAAUAGUACCUAUCUCCAUGACUCCAUCCAGGCACUACAUAUUGUGCUACUGGAAUUUAUGAAGUUCAGUUCUCUUCUUGCUCAUCUGUAGCCUUUGAUGGUAAUAUUCUUUUUUUUUUUUGCAAAUCUGUAUGAUAUGGGAAUCAUUAUACUAAGAGAUUUGAUGGGGCACAUUAUGUUUUAGAUUUUGUUUUCUACAAUUGGAUCUAGGAAAACAUUUGGUUUCCCUCCUGAUUUUACUUCUGUGGUGAUAGCACUAGAGCAGUAGGGAUACUUUGGUUACCAACUGAAACUAUAUAGAUGAUUAGAUUUGGCAACUUAUUUGCAGUCUGAAGAUGUAAUACAUGUCACCUUCAGUAUUUUCAGCUUUCAUACCUCUGGUAGAAUUAAAAUUGGAUUCAGACGUGUGCUUCCAACAGUAGAGCAAUAGGGAUAUUUUUCUUAACAAAUGGAACACUAGCUUUGCCAAUUAGUUUGUAGCCCAAAGAUGCAAAGUGCUGAUACAUUUACUUUUAGUAUCACCUUUCAUACCUACAGUAGAAUUGGGUUACAGACGUGUAUUUCCAUAUUGCUCUGACUUAUAUAAUUUUUAGAGGACACAUGAUGGACAUAUGCCUGCCCUGCGCCUCAACACAUGCAGAUUGUUCCAUGCCAUUCAUGGUUUUGAAAUAGCUGCCUCUUCAUAUAUCAAAACUUGUGAACAUAUAUACUAUGUAAUUGAAAAUACUUGCUUUGUGUGUGUGCAUGCGUGUGUUCCUGCAUAUAGAUACAGAAAUAUGAUUGCCCAGGCUUCUCUUCGUAAAAGUAGCUUUUGAUCGUUUGGCUGGAAAAAGGUAUCUGCCUAAUGGCAUGUGGCUGCUAAGUUAUGUCUUACGUGUUUUCUACUGAAGCCAUUUUUAUGCAAUUGGUAAUGGCAAAGCAGGCAUGAUUGCCCACAUACUUGAACAACAAUGUCAUUGCAUUGCCUAUUGGAUUUAAACAAAAUGAAAACAGUAGUAGCAGACAAACAUGGUACUGUGCAGACAUUUCUGAUAAAACAGCUUGCAUUUUUACUGUAUUACAUACAUUAUGAAAGAACGAAAUGCAAAUGUAUGACAGGUUUUGGUUUACCAAAACUAACCUUCAGUAUCUUCUCUUUUGUAUUUACUGAAUUGUUCUUUCAUGCAGAGGCCUUUGGGGUCUUCACAGGAUGUUCUCGUAUCAACGUCAACCAGAAUACCAGGGCACACACCAGAGCACUGUGUAAUGUCUACUUUUUUUUCCAGAGGAAAUGUAACUGACUAGAAGGUAUAAAAAAAUUAUUCCUUUGUAAUUAUUUAUUUUCAAUUUCUCAUUUUGUAAGAUUGUUUGCCAAACCAAUACAAUGCAAAGACAGCCGUAGUUGUCU